rnacentral:lncRNA from 1 species
AGUGCUGAAUACACUUUUGUUACAACAUGUACACAGAAUGGAUCAGAAAGUGAGCGUGGUCACACAGUUGUACUGAAAACACCUGCAAGUAGGAGUUUUUAAGCUCCUAAACCUAUUGCAUUAUCAAAAAAUACUGCUCUUGUUUUGUUACUCUACUUUCCUGAUGCUAAGUUUAUUCAAUUGAUUGUACAAAGAUUACCCCAACCAUCUGAAAUACCAGAAACAACUAAAGUUAAUACAACUGAACUAUUACCUGAGUAUAAUACUGAUAUUAAAUCCAGAUAUAUUGCCAUAACAGUUGAUCAUUUGGUGAAGGAUGAAAUUUUUAUUGUUGGCAAUGAUUCAGUGUAUACGUACAAUA